rnacentral:rRNA from 1 species
AUGUGCCUGGCACUCAUCCUGCUCCAACUCCCCCCUCUCUCUCAGACUCUCACACACAAAGUAACCUCGGGUUUAUCAUGGAUUAUCAUACUCUGCACAGCCAAAGAAGAAGCAGAUCCAAUAGAGAAGAGAGAGGCGCACCGGCCCUUUCCAGGCCACCUGGCCCUCUUGCCCUCGAGUUCAGCUCGGAUGAACGAUGAUGUGAGGAAGCAGCAAGAGAAGCAAAAGGGAAGAGGAGGCGGAGGUGGAAGCGGAGGAGGAAGGCUGGCGAGGAUGCUGCGGGAGCACAGGGCCAGGCUCUACAUCAUCCGGCGCUGCGUCGUCAUGCUGCUCUGCCACCAUGACUGA